rnacentral:lncRNA from 1 species
ACCUCAUCCCUUUCGCGCAACAUGUCUCCCAAAAUUGCUUUUCCCACAAGAACUACACCAAUGCACACCCAGCACAGAGUUGUGCUGCAUCCCGGAGCACUGACACAAGCAGUUAUGCACCAGAACUGUCAACAUCUGUCUCUGGAUUAAACAGGAAGGAGAAAAGAAGAAAUCUUUCCUAUCAGCAGCAGCAGGGGUUGCUGCAGGAAGAUGAUAAUUCCCUCCUGCUACUCCGCUGACAACAACCAAGCUUCACAGGAGGAACAAGGCAUUUUAAUCAUGGAAUUGAAAAACAUAGCAGUUUCUAAAGCUUCAGCUCACCUUGGUUGAUUUACAUUAAUUUAGGAUAAACUGGCUCACCUUGGAAUUGUUAUAUAUGGAAGAUGAGAGGAGGAAGAUUGCAUUAUUUCUAGUUUGCCUGUGCAAUAGCAGACAGGGUAUCUGUGCGUAUAAACAGUUUCAGAGCAUCCUGGAUAAGCAGUGACCACUGAAUUCCUUAAAAGCACAAGGCAAACUUGAGAGCUCCCUUAGUUCCAUACUAUCUACUUAUGGACUCUAUACUCUUUAAAAACACACAGAAUUGAAUGGAAAAGGUGAAAAACCACCGGCAAAUCAGGGCCUGACCGAAUGCCUGCUGAAGCCAUCAAAAAUCCUGUGACAGAGGUUGUAGGGGUUUUGUUUCUGGCUCUUUCAUCAGAUUAUCAUUAUAACAAAAGGCACCUCAUAACAGACUGCUAAGAUAAAUGCAAAUUUUGGGUCAAAGACAGCCAGGCACCCCUAAAAUUAACAAUUUGAGCACACAUCAGUU